rnacentral:rRNA from 1 species
AACGAACGCUGGCGGCAGGCCUAACACAUGCAAGUCGAGCGGGACCUUCGGGUCUAGCGGCGGACGGGUGAGUAACGCGUGGGAAUAUGCCCUUCUCUACGGAAUAGCCCAGGGAAACUUGGAGUAAUACCGUAUACGCCCUUUGGGGGAAAGAUUUAUCGGAGAAGGAUUAGCCCGCGUUGGAUUAGGUAGUUGGUGAGGUAACGGCUCACCAAGCCGACGAUCCAUAGCUGGUUUGAGAGGAUGAUCAGCCACACUGGGACUGAGACACGGCCCAGACUCCUACGGGAGGCAGCAGUGGGGAAUCUUAGACAAUGGGGGAAACCCUGAUCUAGCCAUGCCGCGUGAGUGAUGAAGGCCUUAGGGUUGUAAAGCUCUUUCAGCUGGGAAGAUAAUGACGGUACCAGCAGAAGAAGCCCCGGCUAACUCCGUGCCAGCCGCCGCGUAA